rnacentral:rRNA from 1 species
GCCGGCAGCUAGCUCUCUGCAACUCUCACAUGGUCGCCCACUGAAGCUAAGCAGGGCUGCGCCCGGUCAGUACCUGGAUGGGAGACCACAUGGGAAAGCAAGGUUGCUGCCGGAA